UACGUAGGGGGCAAGCGUUGUCCGGAAUUAUUGGGCGUAAAGAGCUCGUAGGCGGUCUGUUGCGUCCGCUGUGAAAACUCGGGGCUUAACCCCCGAGCCUGCAGUGGAUACGGGCAGACUAGAGGUAGGUAGGGGAGAAUGGAAUUCCCGGUGUAGCGGUGAAAUGCGCAGAUAUCGGGAGGAACACCGGUGGCGAAGGCGGUUCUCUGGGCCUUACCUGACGCUGAGGAGCGAAAGCGUGGGGAGCGAACAGG
rnacentral:rRNA from 1 species